rnacentral:lncRNA from 1 species
AACUCAGGACCUCUAAGUAACAUCAAGGUACCACAGCAAUCUCCCUGCUAUAACACUUCAUGCAGUUCCAGCCCACCCCAAUCCAAGCACAUGGCAGAACUGUAUUUCCUGGCUCUCCUGAGUUAUACAGGAAUAUUUCACCUCUUCCCUAUUUUAAAAAACAAUCUCUGCAAGGACAAGAUAUGUCUGCCAUGUGCCUGAAUGUCAAAAUAUUUGAAUAAAAUUGAAAAGUUGACACUGAAAUCCGAUAUGACUUCUUCAACAUAUAAAGUCAGAGGGGGAUGGCCCCAAGAACACCAGGCACCACCUGCAUUUACAUCGUCGAAAUGAAAAAGUGAAAAAGGAACAAAUGUGGUCUCAUUACUUUCCAUAAAGGGAAAGCUCUUUACCACAACAAUGCCUAUUAUACCAGAUUAUCAAACACAGAAUCACAUUGUAACUUCUGGAAACUACAGAAUAUGUAUAAACAGAACAGAGCCAAAAGAACUCCAGACAGGUAUGCCUCACCCUCAGGGACUCAUGUGUUGCAGAAAAUGCUGGGAAAACUGAAUUAUAGGGACAAAAGAAACUUGCCAUGUUAAGGUUUUCUAAAUCAAAAUUAUUCUUACUUGUUUUAAUUUACUUUUCUUACAAUGCUUAAUUCUCAUAUUUUUUAAGUUGCAUUUAUGCCUUUGUUAAACGUGGGACUUUUGAUAUAAGAAGUCAGUUUGGCAGAAUUGCAUUGAUACCUAUUUGAUGACAUUCAUUCAAAUAUUUUCAUUAUUCCAAAUAGGGGGAGGAUUCCAUAAUAGCCCC